UUCCUCAGUAGCUCAGUGGUAGAGCGAUCGACUGUUAAUCGAUUGGUCGUAGGUUCAAACCCUACCUGGGGAGU
rnacentral:tRNA from 1 species